rnacentral:rRNA from 1 species
AGUCAAUAGAUACCCUGGUAGUCCACGCCGUAAACGAUGAGUACUAGGUGUAGGAGGUAUCGACUCCUUCUGUGCCGCAGUUAACACAAUAGGUACUCCGCCUGGGAAGUACGGUCGCAAGAUUAAAACUCAAAGGAAUUGACGGGGCCGGCACAAGCAGCGGAGCAUGUGGUUUAAUUUACGAAGCAACGCGAAGAACCUUACCUAGACUUGACAUCUCCUGAAUAGUGUAGAGAUACAUGAAGCCCUUCGGGUCGAGGAAGACAGGUGAUGCAUGGUUGUCGUCAGCUCGUGUCGUGAGAUGUUGGGUUAA